GCUGGGGUUCGCUUGUGCUUUUUUGCCAAGGCACAAAGGACUGGGUCCUCCAAGAGCACCGGGGAGUUCGGGUCCACCCUGGAAGGAAAGGCAGAAAGGCUGAGGCCCUGAGGCUGGGGAUACAGUUUGUUAGGCGGCUCCCUAAACAGACUAAGGCGUCCACUCUGCACCGGAGCUUCUCAAGCGAGGCCCCCGAACAGCAGCCUCAACAUCACCUGGGAUCUCGUCAGAAAUGCAAAUUCUUCCCUCACCCCAAGUCAGCUAAAAUAGAAAUGCUAUUUCUGAGCACAAGCAACUCCAUGAACCCUAUCCUGGUUUCUCAAUAACUCCGACCACUAGAACGAGACACGGCCAAUUUCAGAGCUGGGAUGAGAAACCUUCAACAACUGGGAAAAACAAGUUAACUGAUAUCAAAAUACAACAAUAUAAAAACAAUUGAAUUCUGGUUAAAAAAAGAAGAGCUACAAAAGAUAUUUUGAUUAAGCAAGGAAAAAUUCAAAUAUGGACUGGAUACCAAAUGACAUGAGGGCACUAUAGAUGAUGUUCUUAGAUACAGUAAUGACACUGGAACUGGGAGAAUAUCUUCAUUCCUGUGACAUGCUUUGAGAGGUCUCUAGGGGUCAAUUGUCAUCUUUACAAUUUACCUUGAAGAGGUUCUAGAAACAUUAUAUGUAUUUAUGCAGAUAUACUCCAUAUAACAUUGCAAAAUGUUAGUAAUUUUGAAUAUAAAUGGUAACAUGGGUCUCCAGUAUUAUUUUUAUCAAAUUUUUGGAAAGUGUGAAAAUGGCCAUAUUAAAAAAUUGGGGAACUACUAGUAUUAAAACCACAUUAAUUUCUCAAUGCUUUUAUUAAAUUAUCACAGCACCGUAUCAUUAUACCAAAUUCACUAAUUUUAUACAUAUGUAUUUCCACUGUAGAUCUUCACUGAUUGACUCUAAGUUUUAAAACAUAAAAUAAAA